AAUAGAUACCCGGGUAGUCCAUGCCGUAAACGUUGGGCACUAGGUGUGGGGGACAUUCCACGUUUUCCGCGCCGUAGCUAACGCAUUAAGUGCCCCGCCUGGGGAGUACGGCCGCAAGGCUAAAACUCAAAGGAAUUGACGGGGGCCCGCACAAGCGGCGGAGCAUGCGGAUUAAUUCGAUGCAACGCGAAGAACCUUACCAAGGCUUGACAUGAACCAGACCGGGCUGGAAACAGUCCUUCCCUUGUGGGUUGGUUUACAGGUGGUGCAUGGUUGUCGUCAGCUCGUGUCGUGAGAUGUUGGGUUAAGUCCCGCAACGAGCGCAACCCUCGUUCUAUGUUGCCAGCACGUGAUGGUGGGGACUCAUAGGAGACUGCCGGGGUCAACUCGGAGGAAGGUGGGGACGACGUCAAAUCGAUCAUGCCCCUUAUGUCUUGGGCUUCACGCAUGCUACAAUGGCCGGUACAAAGGGUUGCGAUACUGUGAGGUGGAGCUAAUCCCAAAAAAGCCGGUCUCAGUUCGGAUUGGGGUCUGCAACUCGACCCAUG
rnacentral:rRNA from 1 species